CUUAAAGGAAUUGACGGGGGUCCCGCACAAGUCAGCGGAGCGUGUGGUUUAAUUCGACGCAACACGCUGAACCUUACCCAGUACUGGACAUGUGGCCUGCAGGCGGCGGAAACGUCGCGGCCUUCGAGGGUGCCACACAGUAUGCUGCAUGGCUGUUCGUCAGCUCGUGUCGUGAGAUGGUUGGGUUCAGUCCCGCAACGAGCGCAACCCCUGCGGUUCAGUUUACUCGUGAUCUGACCGGACUGCCCUUCGGGGAGGAAGGCGGGGAUGACGUUCAAGUCCGCAUGGCUCUUACGUCAUGGGGCUACACACACGCUACAAUGGGUGGAGUAGUGCGUUGUCAGGCCGCAAGGCCGCUGCUAAUCGCCAAUCCCACCCCCAGUUGCAGAUCGGGGGCUGCAACUCGUCCCCCGUGAAGGCGGAGUUGCUAGUAACCCGCGUAUCAUUGAUGGCGCGGGUGAAAUACGUACCCGGGUCCUUGUACACACCCGACCUGUCACGUCAUGG
rnacentral:rRNA from 1 species